UACGGGGGGGGCAAGCGUUGUUCGGAAUUACUGGGCGUAAAGGGCUCGUAGGCGGCCAACUAAGUCAGACGUGAAGUCCCUCGGCUUAACCGGGGAACUGCGUCUGAUACUGGAUGGCUUGAGAUUGGGAGAGGGAUGCGGAAUUCCAGGUGUAGCGGUGAAAUGCGUAGAUAUCUGGAGGAACACCGGUGGCGAAGGCGGCAUCCUGGACCAACACUGACGCUGAGGAGCGAAAGCGUGGGGAGCAAACAGG
rnacentral:rRNA from 1 species